rnacentral:rRNA from 1 species
CAAACAGGCUAGAGUUUGAUCCUGGCGUCAGGACGAACGCUGGCGGCGUGCUUAAUGAAUGCGAGUCGAACGAGAACCGGGGAGCGUCUUCGGACAAUCCUUGGGGACGAGUGGCAAACGGGUGAGUAACACGUGGGUAACCUGCCUCUAAGACGGGCAUAACAGGGCGAAAGUCCUGCUAAUUCCCGAUGUUCUGUUGCCACACAAGUGGUGAUAGCAAAGCUUUUGCGCUUAGAGAUGGGCCCGCGGCCGAUUAGCUUGUUGGUGAGGUAACGGCCCACCAAGGCGACGAUGGGUAGUCCGGCCUGAGAGGGUGACCGGCCACACUGGGACUGAGACAUGGUCCAGACUCCUACGGGAGUUAGCAUCAGGGAAUCUUGCGCAAUGGGCGAAAGCCUGACGCAGCGACGCCGCGUGGGUGAUGAAGGUCUGCGGACCGUAAAGCCCUGUCAGGAGGGAAGAAGUACUGACAGUACCUCCAGAGGAAGCCCCGGCUAAACUACGUGCC